rnacentral:rRNA from 1 species
UACGAAGGGGGCUAGCGUUGCUCGGAAUUACUGGGCGUAAAGGGCGCGUAGGCGGCACUGUUAGUCAGGCGUGAAAGUCCUGGGCUCAACCUGGGAACUGCGCUUGAUACGGCAGAGCUAGAGGAUGGAAGAGGCUCGCGGAAUUCCCAGUGUAGAGGUGAAAUUCGUAGAUAUUGGGAAGAACACCGGUGGCGAAGGCGGCAUCCUGGACCGACACUGACGCUGAGGAGCGAAAGCCAGGGGAGCAAACGGG